CGCGUAACACGUAAGCAACCUGCCCCGAAGACCGGGACAACAGUGGGAAACCGCUGCUAAUACCGGAUGUGGCCAUUGGGGGACAUCCCCUGAUGAUUAAAACGAGCCAGCAAUGGUAUUCGGCUUCGGGAGGGGCUUGCGGCCUAUCAGCUAGUUGGUGGGGUAACGGCCUACCAAGGCGACGACGGGUAGCUGGUCUGAGAGGACGGCCAGCCGGACUGGGACUGAGAUACGGCCCAG
rnacentral:rRNA from 1 species